CGCAUCGUACUUCCGAGGGGGGUAGGCAAUGCUUUAUUGAUGGUUAGGAUGCUUCUUUUGAGCUUGUUCUAUUUGAAACGUGUGCUGUUCUGUGUUGUAUGGGUGAUUUCAAUCAAUGCAUGCACUGUUCGCUUGACUUUGCCGAGCGCUUGUAGCCUCUGCCUCAAGGGGGUAUCAGCCAUUGGAUUUUUUCCUGGCUUUAGGGGUUAUGAGUCAUUGCUGAUGAUGAUAUGUUUCAUGCCACUAGACGCCGUUUUUUGGGGUAUGAGCCAUUACCUAUCAACCUUCUUACCUUGUACUUCCUCCAAAAGGAGACGAUUCCGUUGUCGGAUUCGAGAGUGCCACCGUGAAGGACGCUAAAGUGGGAAAAAAGGUGAAAAUUGACGCGACAGUUUCCGUCAAGACUACCGUCGGCCAGAACCCAGUUCUGCAGUUGUCCUUCUCCAAACCCAACGGUACCACAGUACCUUGCGUGGAGGACUUUUUGCCAUGCAAUCUGAACCUCUGCGAUGGAAAAACGCGCAUCGAGAAACGACUGAACAAGGAUUGGAACAACAGCUGCCCCGUCCAGCCAGGCACGUACACGGCGGAGCUCGAAUUCCGUCUGCCCAAAAACGAGGAGGCCAAGGAAUACUUCGGGGAUGGAAACGUUGAAAUCACUACAAAAAUUGUGGACGACGGCCAAGUUCUGGGGUGUGUCCAGUACCCAGUCAAAGUGGACGUCGAUUGAAAAGUGACGUCAGGAGCUGAUGUCUCUACAAAAUGCUGUUUACGAGAUGAAGCCUCAUAUAGGCGACGAAUCUUUCUGCACACCAUUUUUGUAUAUCUUCUCCUAGGUGAAGUAACAUGCGCAAAUGUAUUUUUUUCCUGUUGGCAAUAUAACUCUCUGAAUAAAUUCUUGAAAUUAGGAAG